GAUGAACGCUGGCGGCAGGCCUAACACAUGCAAGUCGAACGGAUCCUUCGGGAUUAGUGGCGGACGGGUGAGUAACGCGUGGGAACAUACCCUUUGGUACGGAAUAGCCUCGGGAAACUGGGAGUAAUACCGUAUGUGGUCGAGAGACGAAAGAUUUAUCGCCAAAGGAUUGGCCCGCGUUGGAUUAGGUAGUUGGUGGGGUAAUGGCCUACCAAGCCGACGAUCCAUAGCUGGUUUGAGAGGAUGAUCAGCCACACUGGGACUGAGACACGGCCCAGACUCCUACGGGAGGCAGCAGUGGGGGAUCUUAGACAAUGGGGGAAACCCUGAUCUAGCCAUGCCGCGUGAUCGAUGAAGGCCUUAGGGUUGUAAAGAUCUUUCAGGUGGGAAGAUAAUGACUGUACCACCAGAAGAAGCCCCGGCUAACUCCGUGCCAGCCGCCGCGGUAA
rnacentral:rRNA from 1 species